CAGUCGCCGCGGGAAUACGAAGGGUGCAAGCGUUAAUCGGAAUUACUGGGCGUAAAGCGUGCGCAGGCGGUUUGUUAAGACAGAUGUGAAAUCCCCGGGCUCAACCUGGGAACUGCAUUUGUGACUGGCAAGCUAGAGUGUGGCAGAGGGGGGUGGAAUUCCCGGUGUAGCGGUGAAAUGCGUAGAGAUCGGGAGGAACAUCGGUGGCGAAGGCGGCCAUCUGGGACAACACUGACGCUGAGGCACGAAAGCGUGGGGAGCAAACAGGAUUAGAUACCCCAGUAGUCCCUGUCUCUUAUAC
rnacentral:rRNA from 1 species